rnacentral:rRNA from 1 species
AGUAGUCAUAUGCUUGUCUCAAAGAUUAAGCCAUGCAUGUCUCAGUGCAAGCUAAAUUAAAGUGAAACCGCGAAUGGCUCAUUAAAUCAGUUAUGGUUCCUUGGAUCCUACCAAUCCUACUUGGACAACUGUGGUAAUUCUAGAGCUAAUACAUGCACCCAGAGCCCCGUCCAGAAAUGGUCGGGGCGCAGUUAUUAGAUCAAAACCAAUCGGUCGGGCUCGCCCGUCCGUAGUUUUGGUGACUCGGAAUAACCACGGCUGAUCGCACGGCCUCGCGCCGGCGACGUAUCCUUCGAAUGUCUGCCUUAUCAACUGUCGAUGGUAGGUUCUGCGCCUACCAUGGUUGUAACGGGUAACGGGGAAUCAGGGUUCGAUUCCGGAGAGGGAGCCUGAGAAACGGCUACCACAUCCAAGGAAGGCAGCAGGCGCGCAAAUUACCCACUCCCGGCACGGGGAGGUAGUGACGAAAAAUAACGAUACGGGACUCAUCCGAGGCCCCGUAAUCGGAAUGAGAACACUUUAAAUCUUUUAACGAGUACCUAAUGGAGGGCAAGUCUGGUGCCAGCAGCCGCGGUAAUUCCAGCUCCAUUGGCGUAUAUUAAAGUUGUUGCGGUUAAAAAGCUCGUAGUUGGAUCUGUGUAUCGGACGGCCGGUUCGC